GAUGAACGCUAGCUACAGGCUUAACACAUGCAAGUCGAGGGGCAUCGGGAAGAAAGCUUGCUUUCUUUGCUGGCGACCGGCGCACGGGUGAGUAACACGUAUCCAACCUGCCCUUUACUCGGGGAUAGCCUUUCGAAAGAAAGAUUAAUACCCGAUAGCAUAAUGAUUCCGCAUGGUUUCAUUAUUAAAGGAUUCCGGUAAAGGAUGGGGAUGCGUUCCAUUAGGUUGUUGGUGAGGUAACGGCCCACCAAGCCUUCGAUGGAUAGGGGUUCUGAGAGGAAGGUCCCCCACAUUGGAACUGAGACACGGUCCAAACUCCUACGGGAGGCAGCAGUGAGGAAUAUUGGUCAAUGGGCGCUAGCCUGAACCAGCCAAGUAGCGUGAAGGAUGAAGGCUCUAUGGGUCGUAAACUUCUUUUAUAUAAGAAUAAAGUGCAGUAUGUAUACUGUUUUGUAUGUAUUAUAUGAAUAAGGAUCGGCUAACUCCGUGCCAGCAGCCGCGGUAAUACGGAGGAUCCGAGCGUUAUCCGGAUUUAUUGGGUUUAAAGGGAGCGUAGGUGGACUGGUAAGUCAGUUGUGAAAGUUUGCGGCUCAACCGUAAAAUUGCAGUUGAUACUGUCAGUCUUGAGUACAGUAGAGGUGGGCGGAAUUCGUGGUGUAGCGGUGAAAUGCUUAGAUAUCACGAAGAACUCCGAUUGC
rnacentral:rRNA from 1 species